GGACAAACGCUGGCGGCGUGCAUAACACAUGCAAGUCGGACGAGAAUCGAUCGGAAGCUUGCUUUCGAUGAGGACAGUGGCGAACGGGUGAGUAACGCGUAAGCAACCAACCUCUGCCUGGGGGAUAGCCCCGGGAAACUGGAAUUAAUACCGCAUAAGACUACGAUGCCGCAUGGCAACGCAGUAAAAGAUUUAUCGGGCAGAGACGGGCUUGCGUACCAUUGGCUAGUUGGUGAGAUAACAGCCCACCAAGGCUACGAUGGUUAGCCGACCUGAGAGGGUGAUCGGCCACAUUGGGACUGAGACACGGCCCAGACUCCUACGGGAGGCAGCAGUGGGGAAUAUUGCGCAAUGGAGGAAACUCCUGACGCAGCAACGCCGCGUGAGUGAUGAAGGUUUUAGGAUUGUAAAACUCUGUCUUUGGGGACGAAAGAAAUGACGGUACCCAUAGAGGAAGCCCCGGCUAACUACGUGCCAGCAGCGGC
rnacentral:rRNA from 1 species